UAAUAUUAAAUAGCUGCGGUAUAUUGACUGUACAAAGGUAGCAUAAUCAAUAGUUUUUUAAUUGAAAGCUGGAAUGAACGAUUUAAUAAGAUAAUUAUUGUCUCAAAUUAAUUAGAUUUAAAAUUUUUUUUUUAGUUAAAAAACUAAAUUAAAUUUAAAAGACGAGAAGACCCUAUAGAAUUUAAUUUUUUUUUAUUAAUUAAUUAAAAAUUAAAAAAAAAUUUUUUAAUAGAAAAUUAUUAAGUUGGGGAAAUUAUUAAAUUAAAAAAAUUUUAAUUAUUAUUAUACUUAAAUUAAAGUGUUAAUGAAUUUAAUUAUUUAAAUUAAUAAAAUAAAUUACCUUAGGGAUAACAGCGUAAUUUUUUUGAAGAGAUCAUAUUGUUAAAAAAGUUUGCGACCUCGAUGUUGAAUUAAGAAAUAAUAUUAAUGUAGAAGUUAAUAAUUUUUGGWCUGUUCGACCAUUAAAAUCUUACWUGAUCUGAGUUC
rnacentral:rRNA from 1 species